AUCUGGUGCUUAUGGCAUAGUGGACACACCCGUUCCCAUCCCGAACACGGAAGUUAAGCACUAUCACGCCGACGAUAGCC
rnacentral:rRNA from 1 species